rnacentral:rRNA from 1 species
AGAGUUUGAUCCUGGCUCAGGACGAACGCUGGCGGCGUGCCUAAUACAUGCAAGUCGAACGAAGCUUUCUUUCACCGAAUGCUUGCAUUCACCGAAAGAAGCUUAGUGGCGAACGGGUGAGUAACACGUAGGCAACCUGCCCAAAAGAGGGGGAUAACACUUGGAAACAGGUGCUAAUACCGCAUAACCAUGAACACCGCAUGAUGUUCGUGUAAAAGACGGCUUUUGCUGUCACUUUUGGAUGGGCCUGCGGCGUAUUAACUUGUUGGUGGGGUAACGGCCUACCAAGGUGAUGAUACGUAGCCGAACUGAGAGGUUGAUCGGCCACAUUGGGACUGAGACACGGCCCAAACUCCUACGGGAGGCAGCAGUAGGGAAUCUUCCACAAUGGACGAAAGUCUGAUGGAGCAACGCCGCGUGAAUGAAGAAGGCCUUCGGGUCGUAAAAUUCUGUUGUCAGAGAAGAAUGUGCGUGAGAGUAACUGUUCACGUAUUGACGGUAUCUGACCAGAAAGCCACGGCUAACUACGUGCCAGCAGCCGCGGUAAUACGUAGGUGGCAAGCGUUGUCCGGAUUUAUUGGGCGUAAAGGGAACGCAGGCGGUCUUUUAAGUCUGAUGUGAAAGCCUUCGGCUUAACCGAAGUAGUGCAUUGGAAACUGGAAGACUUGAGUGCAGAAGAGGAGAGUGGAACUCCAUGUGUAGCGGUGAAAUGCGUAGAUAUAUGGAAGAACACCAGUGGCGAAAGCGGCUCUCUGGUCUGUAACUGACGCUGAGGUUCGAAAGCGUGGGUAGCAAACAGGAUUAGAUACCCUGGUAGUCCACGCCGUAAACGAUGAGUGCUAAGUGUUGGAGGGUUUCCGCCCUUCAGUGCUGCAGCUAACGCAUUAAGCACUCCGCCUGGGGAGUACGGUCGCAAGACUGAAACUCAAAGGAAUUGACGGGGGCCCGCACAAGCGGUGGAGCAUGUGGUUUAAUUCGAAGCAACGCGGAGAACCUUACCAGGUCUUGACAUCUUCUGACAAUUCCAGAGAUGGAACGUUCCCUUCGGGGACAGAAUGACAGGUGGUGCAUGGUUGUCGUCAGCUCGUGUCGUGAGAUGUUGGGUUAAGUCCCGCAACGAGCGCAACCCUUAUUGUCAGUUGCCAUCAUUAAGUUGGGCACUCUGGCGAGACUGCCGGUGACAAACCGGAGGAAGGUGGGGAUGACGUCAAAUCAUCAUGCCCCUUAUGACCUGGGCUACACACGUGCUACAAUGGACGGUACAACGAGUCGCUAACUCGCGAGGGCAAGCUAAUCUCUUAAAGCCGUUCUCAGUUCGGAUUGCAGGCUGCAACUCGCCUGCAUGAAGUCGGAAUCGCUAGUAAUCGCGAAUCAGCAUGUCGCGGUGAAUACGUUCCCGGGCCUUGUACACACCGCCCGUCACACCAUGAGAGUUUGUAACACCCAAAGUCGGUGGGGUAACCUUUUGGAGCCAGCCGCCUAAGGUGGGACAGAUGAUUGGGGUGAAGUCGAACAAGGUA